UACGUAGGUGGCAAGCGUUGUCCGGAAUUAUUGGGCGUAAAGCGCGCGCAGGCGGCCUUUUAAGUCUGAUGUGAAAGCCCACGGCUCAACCGUGGAAGGUCAUUGGAAACUGAAAGGCUUGAGUACAGAAGAGGAAAGCGGAAUUCCACGUGUAGCGGUGAAAUGCGUAGAGAUGUGGAGGAACACCAGCGGCGAAGGCGGCUUUCUGGUCUGUAACUGACGCUGAGGCGCGAAAGCGUGGGGAGCAAACAGG
rnacentral:rRNA from 1 species